GAGGGUGGAACUCAGUGGUAGAGGGCAUGCUUAGCACACAUAAGGUCCUGGGUUCAACCCCCAGUACCUCCA
rnacentral:tRNA from 1 species